GGAGCAUGUGGUUUAAUUCGAAGCAACGCGAAGAACCUUACCAGGUCUUGACAUCCUUUGACCACUCUAGAGAUAGAGCUUUCCCUUCGGGGACAAAGUGACAGGUGGUGCAUGGUUGUCGUCAGCUCGUGUCGUGAGAUGUUGGGUUAAGUCCCGCAACGAGCGCAACCCUUAUUGUUAGUUGCCAUCAUUUAGUUGGGCACUCUAGCAAGACUGCCGGUGACAAACCGGAGGAAGGUGGGGAUGACGUCAAAUCAUCAUGCCCCUUAUGACCUGGGCUACACACGUGCUACAAUGGACGGUACAAUGAGUUGCGAGACCGCGAGGUUUAGCUAAUCUCUUAAAGCCGUUCUCAGUUCGGAUUGUAGGCUGCAACUCGCCUACANNAAGCCGGAAUCGC
rnacentral:rRNA from 1 species